rnacentral:rRNA from 1 species
UUGCAAAAUGGGCGAAAGCCCGAUGCAGCAACGCCGCGUGGGCGAUGAAGGCCUUCGGGUCGUAAAGCCCUUUUUGAGGGGAUGAGGAAGGACAGUACCCUCAGAAUAAGCCUCGGCUAACUACGUGCCAGCAGCCGCGGUAAAACGUAGGAGGCGAGCGUUAUCCGGAUUUACUGGGCGUAAAGCGCGUGCAGGCGGAUUGGAGAGUUGGAUGUGAAAGCUCCCGGCUUAACUGGGAGAGGUCGUUCAAUACUUCCAGUCUUGAGUGCAGUAGAGGGCAGUGGAAUUCCGGGUGUCGUGGUGAAAUGCGUAGAUAUCCGGAGGAACACCAGUGGCGAAAGCGGCUUCCUGGACUGUAACUGACGCUCAGACGCGAAAGCUAGGGUAGCAAAC